GGAGUUAGCCGGUGCUUCUUCUGCGAGUAACGUCACAGAUGUAAGGUAUUAACUUACACCCUUUCCUCCUCGCUGAAAGUGCUUUACAACCCGAAGGCCUUCUUCACACACGCGGCAUGGCUGCAUCAGGGUUUCCCCCAUUGUGCAAUAUUCCCCACUGCUGCCUCCCGUAGGAGUCUGGGCCGUGUCUCAGUCCCAGUGUGGCUGAUCAUCCUCUCAGACCAGCUAGGGAUCGUCGCCUAGGUGAGCCUUUACCUCACCUACUAGCUAAUCCCACCUGGGCUUAUCCAUCAGCGCAAGGCCCGAAGGUCCCCUGCUUUCCCCCGUAGGGCGUAUGCGGUAUUAGCAGUCGUUUCCAACUGUUAUCCCCCACAAAUGGGCAAAUUCCCAGGCAUUACUCACCCGUCCGCCGCUCGUCAUCUUCAAAGCAAGCUUUUGAAAUGUUACCGCUCGACUUGCAUGUGUUAGGCCUGCCGCCAGCGUUCAAUCUGAGCCAUAAUCAAACUCUGA
rnacentral:rRNA from 1 species